GACGAACGCCGGCGGCGUGCUUAACACAUGCAAGUCGAACGGAAAGGCCCUGCUUGCCGGGUACUCGAGUGGCGAACGGGUGAGUAACACGUGGGUGAUCUGCCCUGCACUUCGGGAUAAGCUUGGGAAACUGGGUCUAAUACCGGAUAGGAGCCAUCUUUAGUGUGGUGGUUGGAAAGUUUUUUCGGUGUAGGAUGAGCUCGCGGCCUAUCAGCUUGUUGGUGGGGUAAUGGCCUACCAAGGCGGCGACGGGUAGCCGACCUGAGAGGGUGUACGGCCACAUUGGGACUGAGAUACGGCCCAGACUCCUACGGGAGGCAGCAGUGGGGAAUAUUGCACAAUGGGCGCAAGCCUGAUGCAGCGACGCCGCGUGGGGGAUGAAGGCCUUCGGGUUGUAAACUCCUUUCGCUAGGGACGAAGCGUUUUUGUGACGGUACCUAGAUAAGAAGCACCGGCUAACUACGUG
rnacentral:rRNA from 1 species